UGCAGAGGAGUCUUUAUGCGCAGACACUUUCUCAUCACGUUCAUCAGUGAGCUGUUGUUCAUGUCCUCUGAAUGAUGAUGACAUCCCCAAGAAGAGAUUCAAGUGAUGACAUAUUCUCGCAGUCCAAAGAGAGGGAGAAGAGGGUUGUGAAGAUCUGUUCAAGAAGCUCUGAGCCAAGAUGUCCAGUUUCACAAACCUUCGAGAGAUGACAAGCUCAGUCCAGGGGAGGCAGCCCUACUACGUUUUAGCGGUUGGAGCAUUUCACCAUCAAUGACUACUCCAUAGUUGUGGAUCGUCAACUCAUUCCCUGCAAGGCUAAGUCUUAAAUUUCAGCUUCUGACGAACUCUUCAUUGAACAGUAUGUGCACCAAUGCCCCAAAAA